rnacentral:tRNA from 1 species
GACCAGUUAGUUUUGUGGGUAAGGCUAUGGAUCGCCGAUCCGGAGACGCGGGUACGAUUUCCGUUCUGGUCG